rnacentral:rRNA from 1 species
AGAGUUUGAUCAUGGCUCAGGACGAACGCUGGCGGCGUGCCUAACACAUGCAAGUCGAACGAGGUCCAUGCAGUGGCAACACUGCGGACGACCUAGUGGCGAACGGGUGAGUAACACGUGAGGAACUUGCCCCGGAGACCGGGAUAACUCUCCGAAAGGAGAGCUAAUACCGGAUGUCCUCACCGAGUCGCAUGGCUUGGUGAGGAAAUGGAUUCCGCUCCGGGAGAGCCUCGCGGCCUAUCAGCUAGUUGGUGGGGUAACGGCCCACCAAGGCGUCGACGGGUAGCUGGUCUGAGAGGACGAUCAGCCACACUGGGACUGAGACACGGCCCAGACUCCUACGGGAGGCAGCAGUGGGGAAUCUUGCGCAAUGGGCGAAAGCCUGACGCAGCAACGCCGCGUGCGGGAUGAAGGCCCUCGGGUUGUAAACCGCUUUCAGUGGGGACGAACCAAGACGGUACCCACAGAAGAAGCCCCGGCCAACUACGUGCCAGCAGCCGCGGUAACACGUAGGGGGCAAGCGUUGUCCGGAUUCAUUGGGCGUAAAGAGCUCGUAGGCGGUUCGAUAAGUCGGGUGUGAAACCUCCAGGCUCAACCUGGAGACGCCACCCGAUACUGUCGUGACUAGAGUCCAGUAGGGGAGCGUGGAAUUCCUGGUGUAGCGGUGAAAUGCGCAGAUAUCAGGAGGAACACCAGCGGCGAAGGCGGCGCUCUGGGCUGGAACUGACGCUGAGGAGCGAAAGCGUGGGGAGCGAACAGGAUUAGAUACCCUGGUAGUCCACGCCGUAAACGUUGGGUACUAGGUGUGGGGUCUUAUCAACGGAUUCCGUGCCGAAGCUAACGCAUUAAGUACCCCGCCUGGGGAGUACGGCCGCAAGGCUAAAACUCAAAGGAAUUGACGG